rnacentral:rRNA from 1 species
AGAAUCAACGCUGGCGGCGUGCCUAACACAUGCAAGUCGAACGAGAAAGUGGAGCAAUCCAUGAGUAAAGUGGCGCACGGGUGAGUAACACGUGACUAACCUACCCUCGAGUGGGGAAUAACCUCGGGAAACCGGGGCUAACACCGCAUAACAUCUACGGAUCAAAUGCGAAAGCAGCUUGAGGAGGGGGUCGCGGCCGAUUAGCUAGUUGGUGAGGUAAUGGCCCACCAAGGCAAUGAUCGGUA